UGGCCUCAGAACAUGCUGCUGAAAUGAUCUCUGCAAGUAUGACCAGAAGCCUGUCUGGGGCCUACAAAAUCCUAAGGGGGUCCUUAGGCUGUCUUGCCCACUGUGGAAGAAGUCAUGCCAAGGUGAGAAGACCCAGGGGAGGACCCUUGCUGGAGAGAGCCAGGAUGAAGGCUAGUCUCUCAGGAGGGCCUGUUGAUUUGUUUGGAGGAUGCACCUACAUCUAAAAUGAGCUUACAGUGUUGCCAGGUCGACUUAAAGGUUCUGACACUGUGAAGCUGGAUCUUGUUCUACAUUUGAAAAAGUGUUUGCAGUAUCGCCGGGUCGGCUUAAAGGUUCUGGUACUGUGAAGCUGUACUUUUUCUGGAUCCAAGGAGUCUGUAAGUGAUCUGCUACUGCUAUCUGAGACCCCUAACCCUCUCUUCUACUACCUCCUUUUUAAGUUCUGCAUUAAAGCUUUGAAAAGAUCAAAAGUGACAGGUUUUCAAUCUCUGUUCCAAACUCCCCAUUAUAGCCAAGGACUCAGCCCUGGAUGAAUGCUAGCUCGCCCCUUGUCUCUGGAGGUUACUCCAUGCCUUCAGUAAACCCAGGUGGGCGCUACACUUGCAAUAGAUGUCAUAGGCCAUUUAAAUGUGUUUCACAACACGUGCCUCGAUAUUGAUGUUAUAAACCUGUGUAAGUAAAAAAAAUAUUCAGUGUAUGUUUUUAUGUACUUUUGUUUAGAUUCCACAUCAUCCUGGAUAUAUUAUCUAACAGGAUGCAGCGUCAUCCUCAUAGCAGGCACAGCAUUUCUGUUGUUCAAACACAAAAGUAAAAGAAACAACUUAACGGAAGUGCCAGAAUCACGUGGAUGUGGGAUAAGAUGUAAACCUGGAAGCCAUAUCUCUGAAGAUGCAACAACAGCUUUUCCUUCAUCGAGCAUGUUUGUCCAAAAGGAACAUCGCUUGUAUUCGGAAAUUGAUUCUCCUUCAGUGGCUCACAAAGACAUUGAAGAACAGCACCUGUACUCUGAAAUAACUAUUUGUUCCCGCCAAGAAGAUGAACUACAUCCACCACUUCAGCACUCUGCCAAUCGCUCAGUGUACGGCACUGCCAAGGCAAUUGAUUUGUUACCGGUCGUUUAUCAUACUAUUCUCACACAAACAACUACAGAAGGAAACUAAAAGUUACUUUAUUAUAAUUCUCGAUUAAAAAAAAAGGCCUCACAUUCCUGUAGCCACAUGGCACCCAGUCCUCUCCAGUCUCUUACACAGCAUCGGUCUCCUCUCCCUGACAGGACGUGGAUCUCUGUAUUUACACACAGAGAUCCACGGUCCUGCUCAG